rnacentral:rRNA from 1 species
GGAUCAAUACGUCGGUCGUGCUUCGGUACGUACUGGCGUCGUUGAUUUCUCCCUUCUGACGAACCAUGAUGUCAUUAACUUGGUGUCAUGGGAAAUCAGGACUGUUACUUUGAAAAAAUUAGAGUGUUUAAAGCAGGCUCACGCUUGAAUACAUUAGCAUGGAAUAAUGAAAUAGGGCGUUCGAUCCUAUUUUUGUUGGUUUCUAGGAUCGCCGUAAUGAUU